UACAGGGGGUGCAAACGUUGCUCGGAAUCAUUGGGCGUAAAGCGCACGUAGGCGGUCUGUUAUGUCGGAUGUGAAAGCCCUUGGCUUAACUGAGGAAGUGCAUCCGAAACUGGCAGGCUAGAGUGCGGGAGAGGAGAGUGGAAUUCCUGGUGUAGCGGUGAAAUGCGCAGAUAUCAGGAAGAACACCCGUGGCGAAGGCGGCUCUCUGGAACGCAACUGACGCUGAGACGCGAAAGCGUGGGGAGCAAACAGG
rnacentral:rRNA from 1 species